GCGCGGAUGCUGUAAUUGGUAGCCAGGCACGCUUGAGGUGCGUGUGUCGCAAGACGUGGGAGUUCAAGUCUCCCUCCGCGCA
rnacentral:tRNA from 1 species